CUGGCUCAGAUGAACGCUGGCGGCAGGCCUAACACAUGCAAGUCGAACGGUAACAGGAAGCAGCUUGCUGCUUCGCUGACGAGUGGCGGACGGGUGAGUAAUGUCUGGGAAACUGCCCGAUGAGGGGGAUAACUACUGGAAACGGUAGCUAAUACCGCAUAAUGUCGCAAGACCAAAGAGGGGGACCUUCGGGCCUCCUGCCAUCGGAUGUGCCCAGAUGGGAUUAGCUUGUUGGUGAGGUAACGGCUCACCAAGGCGACGAUCCCUAGCUGGUCUGAGAGGAUGACCAGCCACACUGGAACUGAGACACGGUCCAGACUCCUACGGGAGGCAGCAGUGGGGAAUAUUGCACAAUGGGCGCAAGCCUGAUGCAGCCAAUGCCGCGUGUAUGAAGAAGGCCUUCGGGUUGUAAAGUACUUUCAGCGGGGAGGAAGGGGUUAAGGUUAAUAACCUUAGCCAUUGACGUUACCCGCAGAAGAAGCACCGGCUAACUCCGUGCCAGCCGCCGC
rnacentral:rRNA from 1 species